UACGUAGGGGGCUAGCGUUGUCCGGAUUUAUUGGGCGUAAAGAGCGUGUAGGCGGUCAGGUAGGUCUGCUGUGAAAACUCGAGGCUCAACCUCGAGACGUCGGCGGAAACCAUCUGGCUAGAGUCCGGAAGAGGAGAGUGGAAUUCCUGGUGUAGCGGUGAAAUGCGCAGAUAUCAGGAAGAACACCCGUGGCGAAGGCGGCUCGCUGGGACGGUACUGACGCUGAGACGCGAAAGCGUGGGGAGCGAACAGG
rnacentral:rRNA from 1 species